UAAAAAAAACUGCGCGAGAGGAAGGAAGGAGGUUUGUCGACAGGAGCAGAACGGCGGGGUACGGAGACGCCGCAUCUCCGACGGGAGGAGGAGAAAUAUUGGCGCAACCUUCUUCCUCCCCCCGCCCCCCCCCCCCCUCCCGGCCUCACAUUUGGAGCCAGUACGGGCUCACGACGGGCGGCAGAUAUGGACGGGGAGCUGGCCAAGACGGGCCGCCACGCCACGCCGUCCGGGCGGAGCGCGGGAGCGAGAGCUUCUCAAAGGUAUAACUCAGAAAUGAUUUUUGCGCUGGAGGAGGUGAUAGCACAACCACCUACUCGCUAAGAUGACAAGGCUGCGUCAGGACCCAAGUAUGUGUUCUCUGAAGAAUUCAACACUGCAUCGUCGAUUCAGUUAAGUUUGAACGAGACAACUCUGGUGCUUCUCCUGUCCCCGUACCGCUUCGCUAGUUAUGAAGACUCAGAUGGCGUCCGAUCAGCACCUAACGGCUGCGAGAGCGUCCUGUGUCGCUGUUGGCUUUCCGGCGAGCCUUCAGAGAGCCAACUACUCCAUUUUGCUUUUCCUUCUUUUUCCUCCAAGUUGUAAGGCUAUAAAGUCAUUUCAGUUAUUGUUUCUGAAUCUUGAUCUUCAGACCAACUCGGGUCUGACAGGCUGGAGCAACUCUGUAUUUCCAUGCAUGGGUAGCACUGCAGCAACUCAGAGAUCUAUUAUUUACAGAGUUGUUUCAGUGGAUAUUCUUAUGCUCAGACUGAUCAGGACAUCAAUCUGCAAGUGAUUA